UACGUAGGCAGCAAGCGUUGUUCGGAAUUACUGGGCGUAAAGAGUGUGUAGGCGGUGCUCUAAGUUCGGUGUGAAAUCUCCCGGCUCAACUGGGAGGGUGCGCUACAAACUGUCUGACUAGAGUGUGGGAUGGGUAAGUGGAAUUCCUGGUGUAGCGGUGAAAUGCGUAGAUAUCAGGAGGAACACCGGUGGUGUAGACGGCUUACUGGACCAUAACUGACGCUGAGACACGAAAGCGUGGGUAGCAAACAGG
rnacentral:rRNA from 1 species